GCCUGGCUGGCUCAGUCGGUAGAGUAUAUGACUCUUGAUCUCAAGGUUGUGAGUUCAAGCCCCAUGUUGGAUA
rnacentral:tRNA from 1 species